UUAACCAUGUUAGACAACAAUGCUGAGCUGGGAUGGGCUUCCCCUGGCAGCUUCCAACAUGAAAAAGUAAAUAUAACACCCAGAUUUCAGAAGAGACUCCUAGAAGUCCCCAGGUCCCCAGCUCUGUCACUGUUUGGGGCCCCAAAGUUCAAGGAGGUAGAGUGGUACUGCAUGCGCCUUUAACUACUGGCCCUUGGCCCAGGGGACAAGUAAUCCUGGCACAAUCUUCCCAGGCUGAACUCUGCCAGUCUGGAGCAUGGAAGCACAGAUCUCUCUCGUCACCUUGGGAUCAAGGAAUUCUAGGGAAGAUGAAGACAAGGUGGCUCCCUCCUUCUCAGUUACUUCACUCUACCCUGGAAACACUCCUGGAUCAGGAGGCUGACUCCUGGUGUCAAGAAAAAGGAAUGAUGCUGGUGGGAUUUUCCAGGACCCAGCUUGGGAACUGCUUGGAAGGGCCGCUGAGAAACCCCAUGAGAUGCCAGGUGGUGCUGUGAGAUGCUCGUUCAUUUGGACAGACUACUGGGUACAUGGACUGCUCAAUAAAGACUAGCCAUUUAUUACUUUUGUUCUAACUGUUGUAAUAAUUAGUAUGUUAGCAUGGCUUGUAUGAUCC
rnacentral:lncRNA from 1 species